rnacentral:rRNA from 1 species
GGAUUAGAUACCCUGGUAGUCCACGCUGUAAACGAUGUCAACUAGCUGUUGGUCAUAUGAAUAUGAUUAGUGGCGAAGCUAACGCGAUAAGUUGACCGCCUGGGGAGUACGGUCGCAAGAUUAAAACUCAAAGGAAUUGACGGGGGCCCGCACAAGCGGUGGAGCAUGUGGUUUAAUUCGAUGCAACGCGAAGAACCUUACCUACCCUUGACAUACAGUGAAUCCUGCAGAGAUGUGGGAGUGCCUUCGGGAACACUGAUACAGGUGCUGCAUGGCUGUCGUCAGCUCGUGCCG